rnacentral:rRNA from 1 species
AUGGUGGCCGGGCGUGUCAAGGCGGCCAUGGGCUUCCACAGCAGCCCCAGGGCGCCCAAAUCGCCGGCGCCGGCGGCGACGGCCCCAGCCGAGGGGUAUGCAUACACGCCGGCCCGGGGUCCCUCGUCGUCAACGUCAUCGCCCGCCCCGUGCGGCUCGGCCUCCAAGGCGUCGGCGUUCGCGCGGUCCUUGGGCGCUUACUUCCCGCGCUCGUCGGCGCAGGUGCAGCCCGCGCGCGCGCCGCCGGAAGUCGCUGGGCUGCUGCGCGCCAUCGAGCAGCUCCAGGAGAGGGAGUCGCGGCUCCGCGUCGAGUUGCUUGAGCAGAAGAUACUCAGGGAGACCGUUGCUAUCGUCCCUUUCUUAGAGGCCGAGCUCGCGGCGAAGAGCAGCGAGGUCGAGAGGUACAAGGAGUCCGCCGCGCGGCUCGAGUCCGAGAACAUGCGGCUGUGCGCUGAGCUCGACGCUGCGGCGCUGGAGGUUACGAGCAGAAAGCAGAGGAUUGUUCAAAUGGAGAAGGAAAUGGCAGAGCUGAGGAAGCAGCACGACGCUGAUGACUGCUGCUCGUCGUCAUCCUCGUCCAAGCCCUACUUGGCCGUCUCGUUGCACGCUUCACCACCGAGCUCUUCGUCAUCCUCGUCCACGUCGACUUCACCGACGGAUUCAGGCUCGUCGUCAGACACGGCGGCCAUUCCAAGAACCCGCGUGCCAGAGCUGUCGAAGCUGCCGCCGAUACCUCCGCCACCGCCACCGCCACCGCGGCCUCAGCUGACGCCGGCACCCAGCCUGAGCAUCAGCUCCGGCUCAAUGGGAGUGUGCGGAAGCGUAGGCGCGCCACCUCCUCCGCCCCCGCCCCCGCCGUCCAAGAGGACAUGUUCGCCGGUGAGAUCGGGUUCGUGCGUGAGGCGCGUGCCUGAGGUGGUGGAGUUCUACCACUCACUGAUGCGGAGGGAGUCCAAGAGGGACGGAGGGAGCGGUGCCGACGCAGCGAGCGGUGGCGGCGCGGCGGCGACCAGGGACAUGAUUGGCGAAAUCGAGAACCGGUCGGCACACCUCCUCGCGAUCAGAUCGGACGUGGAGACGCAGGGCGACUUCAUCCGGCUCCUGAUCAAGGAGGUGGAGGGCGCGGCGUUCGUCAACAUCGAGGCCGUGGUCAGCUUCGUCAAGUGGCUCGACAACGAGCUAUCCCGCCUGGUGGACGAGCGCGCGGUGCUGAAGCACUUCGAGUGGCCGGAGCAGAAGGCAGACGCGCUCCGGGAGGCGGCGUUCGGCUACUGUGACCUGAAGAAGCUGGAGGGCGAGGCGUCGUCGUUCCGCGACGACCCCCGCCAGCCCUGCGCCGCCGCGCUCAAGAAGAUGCAGGCCCUCUUUGAGAAGCUGGAGCACGGCGUGUACAACCUCGCCCGCGUCCGCGACGGCGCCACCAGCAGGUACGGCCGGUUCCAGAUCCCGUCGGAGUGGAUGCAGGACGCCGGGAUCGUCAGCCAGAUCAAAUUCCAAUCCGUGAAGUUAGCCAGGAAGUACUUGGAACGAGUUUCCUCUGAGCUUGAAGCCAUCAAAGUCGGCCCAGACGAAGAGGAGUUGAUGCUUCAAGGAGUACGAUUCGCCUUCAGAGUACACCAGUUUGCAAGCGGUUUCGACGCCGACACCAUGCGCGCCUUCCAAGAGCUCAAGGAGAAGGCCUCCCUGUGCCGAUUUCAGCGGCAAAAACAGAGUAGACACAUGCGGCAGCAAAGGCUCGUUGGGACCUGA